GUGCUCGCUUCAGCAGCACAUAUACUAAAAUUAGAAUGAUACAGAAAAGAUUAGCAUGGCCCCGGCACAAGGAUGUCAUGCAAAAUUGUGAAUUGUUCCAUUUUUUU
rnacentral:snRNA from 1 species